GGGCGGGGCAGCGCUCCUCUGGUUCCCACAGCCCGCCUGCCAAUCUGCGGAUGCAGGCGGUUGCGACCCAGCAUGAGUUGGACCCUCCGUUAUACAGGUAAGGAGAGAACAGGACGCCCAGGAGAGCGUCCAGAGAAACACCAGCACUUACUAGGGGCAGGGAGGAUGAUCCAGAAGAAAAAUCGGAGAGUAGCAUCAAGGAGGAGGGGAAAAACCCUGGGAAGUUUCAAGGACGCCAUGAAUAACAAAGUCAGUCUCGACUGCUGCCAGGAAGCAGCAGGUGGCAUAUUAGUUCCCCAACCAGGGAUCAAACCCAAGUCCCCUGCAUUGGAAGCAUGGAGUCUUAACCGCUGGACCACUGAGGAAGUCCCUGUCUGUGCCAUUUUUCAUUUCUCAUAUUAACGACCAUUGGAAUCUAGUGGAUGCUGGUGCUUCUUACUGUCCCUUGGUUUGCCAGGAGGCACUUAAUGACCUACAGACGCAAGAUGUCUCUGGGGCCAUGGUCAACGGCCCUCUUGUUCACAAUGAUUCCGUCACCUUCCCUUUAGGAGCACCCUUCCUUGCCCAUUGCCGGCCAGGAGACACACUGCAAGAGGCAGAGUCCAGGUAUCAGGAAACCCACAGGCCCCCUGUGGGAAUCUUUCAGCACCCUCACCGCAAGUGACUCAGCAAUGGAACGUUGCUUGCAAAACCCUGAGCUCCAUGCUGUGCCUGCUGUGAGAGAGGUGAAGGGGGUCACCGCCUCACCCCUGCAGCCCACGUCACCUGGAGUGCUCCCCAAAGUGGAGUCCACACCCUGAGCCCGCUCACCCAGGCAUCACACAGCCCUACCAGGCUUGCCUUCCCCACACACUCCUUGUGUGACUGAUAAAGAAAAGUUGCGAAAUCCAGAUGUCCAGCAGAGUGACUUAGCAAAGCAAACUUUGCCUUGGCAUCGCCCAAGUCGAGAAUUGAAAUGUCUACAUCCUCAUCCCCUUCCCAUCAUUUCCUUCUCCCUUUCACCUGAUUUUUGGGGUCAUCUCUUGGCUUUUUAUAACUUUACCAAUUGUAUCAGCCCAUUUGGGGUGCUGGGACAAAGUGUCACAGAUGGUAGCACUUACAAACAGCAGAAGUUUAUUGCUCACCGAGGCUUGCCAUCAGAGAUCAAGGUACCAUCAGCAUGGGGGAGGGUCUUCUUCCCAGGCUGCAGACUUCUCAUUGUAUCCUCACUGGGUAGGAGGACUGAAGAAACUGGAUGAGGACACUUUGAUGAGGACACUCAUCCCAUCUUGAGGACUUCACCCUGAUGAGCUCAUGACCUGAGCACCUCUCCCAGGCCCCACCUCCUAAUAAAUACCAUUAGGGCAUUAGGUUUCAAUAUAUGAGUUUGGACAAACAUCCUGACCAUUGAACCAGAUAAGCAGGCAUCUCUCAAUACAAUGGUUUUGUUUUGUCUGCUUUGGAACUUUGUAUAAAUGCAAUUAUUCAGUAUUAUA